rnacentral:misc_RNA from 1 species
UCUCCGUAGGUGAACCUGCGGAGGGAUCAUUACCGAGUGAGGGGGCCUCGUGCCCUCGACCUCCCAACCCUUUGUUUAACCAACUCUGUUGCCUCGGGGGCGACCCGGCCUUCGGGCGUCGGGCCCCCCGGCGGACCACUCAACUCUGCAUCUUUGCGUCUGAGUCUUAUAUAUGAAUUAAAUCAAAACUUUCAACAACGGAUCUCUUGGUUCUGGCAUCGAUGAAGAACGCAGC